AUCUUCAUCGAUGUCAUUAGUUUACCGAAAAUUGUCAACUGCAAUCAUACAUUUUUAUACAAUGAAGUCGGUCGUUUUUGUCAUUCUCGUGUCAUUUGGGACAAUUGCGGCUGUUGGUGGAUCUGCCACAUCUAUAUCAACUCUGUCAUCGGUAUUAAAAUCACCGAAAUCAUUGGAAGAUUUGGCCAUUGUUGAUGAAUUUUUAACAAACUGUCCUGACGCGAGUCUUCACGUAGACCUUUGUAUAUCAGCAGCUAAUCCAGGUGACGGUGCAGACGCGUGUGUGAUGGGCCUUCUUUUAUUGAAUUGCACCGCAAGAGCUAUUACAGCUAACCCCACAUGUUCUGGUGCUAUAGAAGCAACAGCUGCCGUGACACGACUUAGGCUAGCCCAUGAAGCGGAAUGUGCUGCUCAAGAUAACUCUUCUGUUUCAGUUGUUGCUGGACUUUCCACGGUAAUUAUUAUGACGUGUUUUAACCUACUUCAAUGACAAAGGGUAAUGUAACGUAUGUAAGUAGUCAAUUAUGUAACAUCAUAAGUUUUGAUUCACUAAGAUUUUCGUUGAUUUUGAGCGUAACAAUUGUGAUAAUUCGAACGAAAAAUAAAAAUGAAAGGAUUUUGUGCUUGAAACA